UACGUAGGGUGCGAGCGUUAAUCGGAAUUACUGGGCGUAAAGCGUGCGCAGGCGGUCUGUUAAGACCGAUGUGAAAUCCCCGGGCUUAACCUGGGAACUGCAUUGGUGACUGGCAGGCUUUGAGUGUGGCAGAGGGAGGUAGAAUUCCACGUGUAGCAGUGAAAUGCGUAGAGAUGUGGAGGAAUACCGAUGGCGAAGGCAGCCUCCUGGGCCGGUACUGACGCUGAGGAGCGAAAGCGUGGGGAGCAAACAGG
rnacentral:rRNA from 1 species